rnacentral:tRNA from 21 species
GCCCGGGUGGCGAAAUUGGUAGACGCAGCGGAUUCAAAAUCCGCCGGUGAAUAACUGUGCCGGUUCAAGUCCGGCCCCGGGCACCA